rnacentral:rRNA from 1 species
GAUGAACGCUGGCGGCGUGCCUAAUACAUGCAAGUCGAGCGAACGGACGAGAAGCUUGCUUCUCUGAUUUUAGCGGCGGACGGGUGAGUAACACGUGGAUAACCUACCUAUAAGACUGGGAUAACUUCGGGAAACCGGAGCUAAUACCGGAUAAUAUUUUGAACCGCAUGGUUCAAAAGUGAAAGACGGUCUUGCUGUCACUUAUUGAUUGAUCCGCGCUGCAUUAGCUAGUUGGUAAGGUAACGGCUUACCAAGGCAACGAUGCAUAGCCGACCUGAGAGGGUGAUCGGCCACACUGGAACUGAGACACGGUCCAGACUCCUACGGGAGGCAGCAGUAGGGAAUCUUCCGCAAUGGGCGAAAGCCUGACGGAGCAACGCCGCGUGAGUGAAGAAGGUUUUCGGAUCGUAAAACUCUGUUAAUAGGGAAGAACAUAUGUGAAAGUAACUGUGAACAUCUUGACGGUAUCUAAUCAGAAAGCCACGGCUAACUACGUG